ACAGCUAUCUUUUUUGUGGUUUGAACCCACAGGUUUUGUAAAGAUUUUUACAAUGGCUGUU
rnacentral:tRNA from 1 species